GGAGGAAAGCAAGUCAGACAGGGCUCUAUUAGAAACAGAGGGCCUGGCAGUUCCUAAUUGUCCUCAUCUGUUAGUCUCUGAUAAUAGGACCUGAUGUCCAGCUUAAAACAAGUUUCUUUUGCCUCAGGCUGAUGGAGUUUGGAAGUCACCAUUCCAACCUAAUAACAAGUAAGAAGCUGAACAGAAGAAAAAGAAACAAUUUUUCCUGGGUCCAGAAGAGAGGGGAAGACACAGAGAAAACUGCAUCCUCUAGAACUGAAGAGAAUAAUAGGCAAAUAUAGGGAAUGCAACUUCUGGGAGCAGAGACUCAGGGUGAAGCUGCUGUAGGAACUGGUGCUCAGGUAGGAAAACUUGAAUUGUAAUUAAUGAAAUGCUGGAGUGGAGGCUCAGUGCACACAACUCCGAAAGCUAAGAACUCCAGGGAGAGCCAGUCAUGGAAGGCCCCACCAUAUUGUGAAAUUUACCUCCAGGAGCUCAAACAGAUUCCCACAGUAAAUACCAAGAAAACUCCUUGGGCUUCCUUCUGCCAAAAGGAGGGGAAAAGGAAGCAUUCUGAAGUACACUAGUGAACUCCGUUCUUCUUAACAAGACCUACCCUCAGGGGAAACUGGUUAACCAGAGUCUAACCUGCUGGGGUAUUAUCAGAGCCUACCUUACCUGGGGAAUGUACAGCAGUACCUUUUAACCAGUACAUCAUGCCCAACUAUCAAGAAAAAUUACAAGAUAUAGCAAAAGGCAAAAACAAAACAAAACAAAAACAAAACAAAACAAAACAAAAAACAAAACAAAAACACAACAAUCUGAAGAGACAGAGCAAACAUCAGAACCAGAUGGCAGAGAUACUAGAUACUAGACUGGAAAUUUAAAACAAUUAUCAUUAAUAUGCUAAGGACUCUAAUGGAUAAAGUAGACAACAUUCAAGAACGGAUGGGCGAUGUGAGAAUAGAGAUGGAAUUCCUAAGAAAGAACCACAAAGAAAUGCUAGAGCUCAAAAAUCCUAACAGAAAUGAAUAAUGCCUUUAUCAGUUUAUUAGUAAACUAAACAUGGCUGAGGAAAGACUCUAUGAACUAAAGGAUAUAUGAAUAGAAUCUUUGAAAGCUAAAAAGCAAAGAGAACCAAGAUUGAAAACUACAGAAUAUCCAAGGAAUGUGAGACAACUGCAAAGACUAUGACAUGUGCAUGAUGGGAAUACUACAAGAAUAAAGAAAGAAAGGAAUAGAAGAAAAAUUUGAAACAAUAAUGACUGGGAGUUUUCCCCAAAUUAAUGUUAGAAAGCAAACCACAGAUCCAGGAAGCUCAGAGAAUAUCAAACAGGACAAAUGCCAAGAAAACUGUGUCACAUCAUUUUCAAAUUAUAGUAAAUCAGAGAGAAAAAUCUCGAAAGAAGCCAGGGGAGAAAAACACCUUACCGAAAGAGGAACAAAGGUAAGAAUUACAUCCAGCUUCUCCUCAGAAAUCAUGCGAGCAAGAAAAAGAACUUAAGAGUUGAGAGAAAAAACCACCAACCUAGAAUUCUGUACCCUGUGAAAUUAUCCUGCAAAAGUGAAGGAAAUAAAGACUUUUUCAAACAAAAAUUGAGGAACUUUAUUGCCAGUAGACCUCCCUUGCAAGAUAUGUUAAAAGAAGCUCUUUAGAAAGAAGGAAAAUAUUAUAGGUCUAAAAUUCAGAUCUGCAUAAAGAAGAGCACUGACCAAGGAAAAAAGAACCCAAGAAGUGGUCAACUAAUCAACUGGCAAGUUGCUACAGAAAAGUAAGAAUGAAAAGAUAAGGAGCCAAACCAACUCACUAACUGGACAGUCAGGUUCUGAACAGCUGAACUUUAUGUCAUGCAGGUGCACUUGAGACAGCAAGGCUGUGAUGGUGUGGUAGGGACUAGGAGAGUUCUAAACAAAUCCCAAAAGAAGACUGGAGUCAAAAUUCCAGACAGUAAGGGCUAGGGAUCAAGAACUGGUCAGUUACACAUGCCAGGGACAGACAUUCAUAAGAGAAGUCAGAAGACCAUAUCCUGAGGCAAAAGGGUGGAAAUAGCCCAGAGGUACAAAAUAAAAACAAAUGACUGAGGGUCAAAGGGGUCCUUGGUGAAGAACUAGUCAGGAACUAAGAGAAUCACUGUGAGGCAGGGCUUAGCAAUAAGCAACAAGAAACUCUGAAGUCAGGGAUAAAAAAAAUGAAGUAGCCAGGAAAACUUCAGAAGUGAAGUAACUAUGCAGGAUGGGGUCUGAUGCUCAGGUAGGUCUGAGUUUUAUACCUGAGUUUUAUACCUUAGAGGUCUUCUAUUAUACCUGCAGGGGCAGGUUCCAAUUGUCAGGGUGUAGGCAAUGCUGGGUCUAUUAAAUUCAGUCUAAACGGGACAGCAUUUAGUUGAAGAGGGGAAAAUAUAAUAGCUUAAUGGAAGUUCAGUUUUUGACACAAGCCAACAUGAGAAAACUCAGUUUGUAGAUAGAUUAUGCUCUUUAUAAACUGUAAGAAAGUAGCUCAGGUAUAGGCACACAGAGACAGAGAGAAAAGGAGUUAGCUUUGUUGAAUCAAAGAAAUUGCUAAGUGAUUAGAGCACAUGAUGCAAGAAAUGUGACAAAUGAUCAAAUCUGUGUUUCAGAAAGAGUUUCCUAAUGGUGUUAGAGAUGGAGAAUGAGAGCAAGGCUAGAGGCCAAAGAUGGUGUGAGAGGGUGCUGCAAUGGUUCAGAAAAAAUGACAAUAUCUCAAAUUAAGCUAGGGGCAAAGGGGGUAAGUGAGAUGGAUCUGAGAAAUAGGUAUGAGGCAAGAUGGAGAACACCUGGUGACUGAUUAGAUAGGAAUACAAGAGAGUGAGGAGCAGAAGAAAACUCCAAGAUUUCUGGCUGAGAUAACAAAGAGAAGAGUGUCCUACACUGACAGAAGGACUCUAGACAAAAAACAGGUUUCGGGGACUACAGCAGGGUGAGGAAAGAAUUCAGUUUUGAAUAUAAUGAGUUUGAGGUGGCCGGCUGUGAGACAUUUGGAGAGAUAAUGAGAAAGAAGUUAGAUAUAAGGGUAUGGUGCCAUAAGAGAGAAAUGGACCAUAGAUUUGAGAGUCAGGAACCUAUCGGUAUACUUUAAAGAAGAGAGGAGAUGUGAUUGCACUGGGAGUAUACAGAAUGAAGGAGACAAGAAGAUGAGAGAAGAUUGAAGUUAAAAUCCAAGCAAAUAAUAGCUCUCUGACUUCGGGCCAUUUCUGCUCUGGACUUCAUAUGUAAAAUGAGAAAGUUGGAUUAGGCCAGUAGUUCUCAACUAUGGUUGCAGGUUAGAAUCAUUGGAGAGUCUUUAAAAUAUACCAGUGCUAGUCCUAGUCGCCAGUGGCACUGAUUUAAGUGGCACGGUGGGAUCUAGGCAAGCCUAUUAUUGAAGAGCUCUUGGGCUUUCCAAUGUGCAGCUAAAGUUGAAAAUCACUAGCCAAGAUAAUCUCCAAGUUCUCUUCCAAUUGUUAACCAUUGCUCUUUUAGAUUGGUUCCCCUCUGUCUUUUGGCUCUUGCCAUUCUGAAUUCAGAAUUCUAGCAGGCAUGUUCACUCUUAAUCUCCUCAUUAUGUUUGAAGAUUUGCCUGAUUUCCUGACCUCUUUCUUUACUUAGAAAUGGACUCUACACAGGAAUUCCUCUGGGGCACAUUCAGGCUUUGGCUGCAGUGAACAGGCUGCUGUUAUAUAUUUAGUUCCCUACUUAGUGAGUGCUUCUGAAAAAUAAAUGGAAAGUUAAUUUAAUAACCUCGAACCUUUAUUUUAUUAUCAAUGUAUAAAACAUCAGAAGCUUAAUUAAAAGCACUUGACAUUAUCAGCACUCAAUCACAAUCUAACUUUUAUACUGUAUAUAUUUGGAUGGUGUCCCUAAGGUAAUAUUUAUUCAAGAUCACAAAGAAGAAAAAACAGGUCCCUGGAUUUUAACAUGAACCUCAAAAUUUAGAAAUCAGUUUAAAAAAUUCAAUGAUGUGAAAUAUGUUUGGUAAUCAAAAUAACCAAAACUACUCAGAAAAGCAGACCAAUUUCAAAAUCUCAUCUGUUUUUCCUUUAUAAGGCACACAUAAUACCUUCAUGUUCAAUGAGAAAUAACUAAGGACAUAGAGAAAAUAAAGAAUAAUAAGACUGCUCUAACUCUA